rnacentral:rRNA from 1 species
CCUACGGGGGGCAGCAGUGGGGGAUAUUGCACAAUGGGGGAAACCCUGAUGCAGCGACGCCGCGUGGGUGAAGAAGCGCCUCGGCGCGUAAAGCCCUGUCAGCAGGGAAGUAAAUGACGGUACCUGAAGAAGAAGCCCCGUCUAACUACGUGCCAGCAGCCGCGGUAAUACGUAGGGGGCAAGCGUUAUCCGGAUUUACUGGGUGUAAUGGGGGCGCAGGCGGCGAUGCAAGCCAGGAGUGAAAGCCCGGGGCCCAACCACGGCACUGCUGUUGGAACUGGGUGGCUAGAGUGCAGGAGGGGCAGGCGGAAUUCCUGGUGUAGCGGUGAAAUGCGUAGAUAUCAGGAGGAACACCGGUGGCGAAGGCAGCCUGCUGGACUGCAACUGACGUUGAGGCCCGAAGGCGUGGGGAGCAAACAGGAUUAGAUACCCUUGUAGUC